GAUGAAGAACGCAGCGAAAUGCGAUAAGUAAUGUGAAUUGCAGAAUUCAGUGAAUCAUCGAAUCUUUGAACGCACCUUGCGCCCUUUGGCCAUUCCGAAGGGCAUGCCUGUUUGAGUAUCAUGAACACCUCAACUCCUCAUGGUCUUCUAUGAUGAGCUUGGACUUUGGGGGCUUGCUGGCCCAUUUGGUCAGCUCCUCUCAAAUGAAUCAGCCUACCAGUGUUUGGUGGCACCACAGGUGUGAUAACAAUCUACGCUUGAGGUUUUCCACCAGGCAACCUUCAGUAAUUGGGGUUCACUGGGGCUCACAAAUGUCUUUCUUCAGUGAGGACAGCUCUUUGAAUGUUUGAUCUCAAAUCAGGUAGGACUACCCGCUGAACUUAAGCAUAUCAAUAAGGGAGGA
rnacentral:misc_RNA from 1 species